GUCAGGGGCUGUACAAACACCAAAAUCGGGGUCAUUUUGUCUCCCAGACGAGUUUCAGAGUGGGGAGAAAGCCGAGGUGACCUGACCUUGGUUCCCAGCUGGAGAGCAAGCAGCAAGUUCUGAGAGGCAGCAGUGACUCCUCGGGGAGCUGCCUCCUGUCAGGGAUGUAUUUUCUUGGGAUGACUCAGGAGCUGCCUCCCGGGAUGCAGGAAAAACUCCCCAUCUUUAUCCUGCUUGCAGCUGGACUGCUGGAUCUGUCUGGAGCCUCCGGGAACGAUGGUGGUGCCAGUGACAUGUUGGGCCUGGGAUUCCCUGGAGGGGCCCAGCCCAGAGCUGAGAGCAGCCCUGGGCCCAGCCAGGGGGUCCCUGUGACAGAGGAGGACCUGGAUGGGGUGACCUCCCAUCUCCAGAGUGCAGCAGCUGAUCCCACCAAGGAAACCACAGCUGACUCCAGCCCUGCUGCCACAGAGAGAGCUGCAAACAGGACAGCUCUGCUGCCUGGGGACUCAGCUGGGG